CCUACGGGAGGCAGCAGUAGGGAAUCUUCGGCAAUGGACGAAAGUCUGACCGAGCAACGCCGCGUGAGUGAAGAAGGUUUUCGGAUCGUAAAACUCUGUUGUUAGAGAAGAACAAGGACGUUAGUAACUGAACGUCCCCUGACGGUAUCUAACCAGAAAGCCACGGCUAACUACGUGCCAGCAGCCGCGGUAAUACGUAGGUGGCAAGCGUUGUCCGGAUUUAUUGGGCGUAAAGCGAGCGCAGGCGGUUUCUUAAGUCUGAUGUGAAAGCCCCCGGCUCAACCGGGGAGGGUCAUUGGAAACUGGGAGACUUGAGUGCAGAAGAGGAGAGUGGAAUUCCAUGUGUAGCGGUGAAAUGCGUAGAUAUAUGGAGGAACACCAGUGGCGAAGGCGGCUCUCUGGUCUGUAACUGACGCUGAGGCUCGAAAGCGUGGGGAGCAAACAGGAUUAGAUACCCUUGUAGUC
rnacentral:rRNA from 1 species